CCAUCACCCCCCCGGCCUCUCUUCCACCACACUCCACCCCUUUCUCCUCGCGCCCCAUCCACAGCCUGUGGCCACCACCUCCUACCGCGCCGCCGGGCCGGCCACCUCCCACCACGCCACCGGACCAGCCACCUCCCACCGCGCGGCCGGCCACCCCCACCGUGCAGCCGACCACCACCUCCCACCGCGCCGUCGGGCCACCACCUCCAAUCACCGGCCACCGCCACCCCUGCCCACCGCAACCACCUCCCGGCGGCGGAUCCUGGCUGGUAACCGCCCCAGUGCGCCUCCCGGUGGUGGAUCUAGGCCCUGCGCCUCCAUCGCCCACCGCAUCCGGCCACCACCAGCCCCAAGGCAGCCUCAACCACCCGAUAUGGCCCCUAGUGCAUCUUCAACCGCCGGAUCUGGCCUCCACCAGCCCACGGUGUGGCUUUCAACAACUGAUCCGGCUGUUGACUCCCCGUGACCUCGUCUCCCUCGUCGCGGCCCUACCUUCGCCUCCCUCCUCCGACCCCAGGCCGGAUCCGUCGCCAAUCCGCGUUUCCCGUCGACCAGUUCCUUGCCCACCGCCACCUCGACCUACUGCCUGGACGGGUCGUUGCAGGCACUGCCUACGGCCCGACGUCGCGUGCAUCCAGGGAUGGGGUCGAUUACAGCUCGGCUGGCCCUCCAUUGCAGUUCGGCUGGGUGCCCAGUGAUGAUUUUUUGUGUCUAUCAACAUCAAACGAUCCCCCGAGCUGGAGUUGAAGGUCAUCGGCGGCAACGACGCCCCGUGCAAUUCAGAAAAUCUUGCAUGCAUCUAUGGAGUUCAAACAACGCACAAGCAUGCGAGUGUGGUUCCAAAGGAAUAGUCCACAUCGCUGACGACAGCACCACCACGACGUCAUGCGAUACGGUAGGUUGUGCCCUGCAGUUCGUCAAUCGUGUCAUGGGUUCACACGUGCGUCGGUGCUGCUCGGAGAUGCACGCCAUGCGGCUCGGUGUUUCGAGCACGCGAGCGCGUCUGACACAACUUGCCGACGACGACUACGCAUGAUUCUCAGGUCAUGGUCCAAUGCGAUGUUUUGCCGUUCGCCGGUACUCACUUCAGGUCAUGGUCCAGGUCGCCGCUCGACGCAGUCCACCAGCCACGAGAGGCCAACAAGGGUUGUGAAGCAGUUCUUUAGGCGCGCGCGUGCAGCCCAGGAAAUCCAGGAAUCCUGAUUGCUUUCAGUUCACUCAGUAAAAAAGAAAAAGUGGCGUGUGCAGCUCACUUUUAUCAAUUUUUGGUUUGUUGUAAGCGACCCCGAUUCGUUCCAUGUGUCUUCUUUGCAGAUCACUUCUUUGCUUUUUUUGCAGGCGACCCCGAUUCAUUCGAUGCUAGCUGCCUGGUCGGAGCUCCUCCACCGUUCACCUCCUCCUCUGCAUCCCAUGCAGUUCGCUCCGGUGGUUAACGAUGAUGCAUUGGCAGGGGGCGGAUGCAGUAUGGUAGGGCAGCGCAUGUAGUGCGGUAGCGCCGCACAUGCAGUGCGGUGCUCACGGCCGUGCGUGGCCGCUACGGUUGGCCGCGCGAGCCACUCCCUGGGACUUGAUUGCUUUCUUUCUUUUUUGGUCGAGGGAAGUUCCACAAAAUUUAGUUUGCGGCAGCAUGGUUCGGCUGUAACCCCCCAAGACCGAUGCUUCAGAAGUCUUCCAGCUAUCU